UGGGGAAUAUUGCACAAUGGGGGAAACCCUGAUGCAGCGACGCCGCGUGAACGAAGAAGGUAUUCGUAUCGUAAAGUUCUGUCCUAUGGGAAGAUAAUGACAGUACCAUAGAAGAAAGCUCCGGCUAAAUACGUGCCAGCAGCCGCGGUAAUACGUAUGGAGCGAGCGUUGUCCGGAAUUAUUGGGCGUAAAGGGUACGCAGGCGGUUUAAUAAGUCGAAUGUUAAAGAUCGGGGCUCAACCCCGUAAAGCAUUGGAAACUGAUGAACUUGAGUAGUGGAGAGGAAAGUGGAAUUCCUAGGGUAGUGGUGAAAUACGUAGAUAUUAGGAGGAAUACCAGUAGCGAAAGAGACUUUCUGGACACAAACUGACGCUAAGGUACGAAAGCGUAGGGAGCAAACAGG
rnacentral:rRNA from 1 species